GACGAACGCUGGCGGCACGCUUAACACAUGCAAGUCGAACGAGAGCCUCGGAGCUUGCUCCGAGGGGACAGUGGCGAACGGGUGAGUAACACGUGAGGAACCUGCCCCGAAGACCGGAAUAACACCGGGAAACCGGUGCUAAUACCGGAUGCCCUCACCGGACCGCAUGGUAUGGUGAGGAAAUGGAUUCCGCUUCGGGAUGGCCUCGCGGCCUAUCAGCUUGUUGGUGGGGUAACGGCCUACCAAGGCUUCGACGGGUAGCUGGUCUGAGAGGAUGUCCAGCCACACUGGGACUGAGACACGGCCCAGACUCCUACGGGAGGCAGCAGUGGGGAAUCUUGCGCAAUGGACGAAAGUCUGACGCAGCGAUGCCGCGUGCGGGAUGAAGGCCCUCGGGUUGUAAACCGCUUUCAGCAGGGACGAAAUUGACGGUACCUGCAGAAGAAGCCCCGGCCAACUACGUGCCAGCAGCCGCAGUAAGAC
rnacentral:rRNA from 1 species